rnacentral:rRNA from 1 species
UAGCAUAUCAAUAAGCGGAGGAAAAGAAACCAACAGGGAUUGCCCUAGUAACGGCGAGUGAAGCGGCAACAGCUCAAAUUUGAAAUCUGGCUCUUUCAGGGUCCGAGUUGUAAUUUGCAGAGGGCGCUUUGGCGUUGGCAGCGGUCCAAGUUCUUUGGAACAGGACGUCACAGAGGGUGAGAAUCCCGUACGUGGUCGCUAGCCUUCGCCGUGUAAAGCCCCUUCGACGAGUCGAGUUGUUUGGGAAUGCAGCUCUAAAUGGGAGGUAAAUUUCUUCUAAAGCUAAAUACUGGCCAGAGACCGAUAGCGCACAAGUAGAGUGAUCGAAAGAUGAAAAGCACUUUGGAAAGAGAGUCAAAUAGCACGUGAAAUUGUUGAAAGGGAAGCGCUUGCAGCCAGACUUGCCUGUAGUUGCUUAUCCGGACUUUUGUCCGGUGCACUCUUCUGCGGGCAGGCCAGCAUCAGUCUAGGCGGUUGGAUAAAGGUCUCUGUCAUGUACCUCUCUUCGGGGAGGCCUUAUAGGGGAGACGACAUGCAACCAGCCUGGACUGAGGUCCGCGCAUCUGCUAGGAUGCUGGCGUAAUGGCUGUAAGCGGCCCGUCUUGAAACACGGACCAAGGAGUCUAACAUCUAUGCGAGUGUUUGGGUGUCAAGCCCAGACGCGUAAUGAAAGUGAACGGAGGUGGGAACCCUUUGGGUGCACCAUCGACCGAUCCUGAUGUCUUCGGAUGGAUUUGAGUAAGAGCAUGGCUGUUGGGACCCGAAAGAUGGUGAACUAUGCUUGAAUAGGGUGAAGCCAGAGGAAACUCUGGUGGAGGCUCGCAGCGGUUCUGACGUGCAAAUCGAUCGUCAAAUUCGGGCAUAGGGCCGAAAGACUAAUCGAACUAUCUAGUAGCUGGUUCCUGCCGAA